ACAUCUGCAUAAGACUUUUGGAAACUUUGAACAGUCUUAAGUCUUUCUUUAAUCACUUUCAACUUUUUCAUUUCCUGGUGAACCAAGUUAGGACCAAACAACCUAGUCUCACAUAUCUCAUACCACCUAAAAAGAGAUCUGCACCUCCUACUAUAAAGAGCCUUAAAAGGAGCCAUUUGGAUGCUAGAAUGGUAACUGUUGUUAUACAAAAACUCAAUAAGAGGCAAAUGUUAAACCCAACAACCAUUAUAAUCAAUCACACC
rnacentral:lncRNA from 1 species